UGGUGGAGUGAUUUGUCUGGUUAAUUCCGUUAACGAACGAGACCUCAGCCUGCUAACUAGUUACACGAAGGAUCCUCUUCGUGGCCAACUUCUUAGAGGGACUAUGGCCGUCUAGGCCAUGGGAGUUUGAGGCAAUAACA
rnacentral:rRNA from 1 species